rnacentral:rRNA from 1 species
UAGUCCACACCGUAAACGAUGAAUGCCAGUCGUCGGGUAGUAUACUAUUCGGUGACACACCUAACGGAUUAAGCAUUCCGCCUGGGGAGUACGGUCGCAAGAUUAAAACUCAAAGGAAUUGACGGGGCCCGCACAAGCGGUGGAGUAUGUGGUUUAAUUCGAAGCAACGCGCAGAACCUUACCAACCCUUGACAUCCUCAUCGCGGUUACCGGAGACGGUUUCCUUCAGUUCGGCUGGAUGAGUGACAGGUGCUGCAUGGCUGUCGUCAGCUCGUGUCGUGAGAUGUUCGGUUAAGUCCGGCAACGAGCGCAACCCACACCCUUAGUUGCCAGCAUUUAGUUGGGCACUCUAGGGGAACUGCCCGUGAUAAGCGGGAGGAAGGUGUGGAUGACGUCAAGUCCUCAUGGGCCCUUACGGGGGUUGGGGCUACACACGUGCUACAAUGGGCCGUGACAAAGAGUUGCUACUUUGUGAAAACAGCUAACCU